rnacentral:lncRNA from 1 species
ACGGUCCAGAUCAUAACCAUUGUGACAUUGACAUAUAGGCUUUUGAUUAUUCUAAAGCUCGGUUGCUCCUUCGUGCAAAUUUGCAUUUAGAUUGUUUCUUCCAUCUCUCUACUCUCCCUCUGCUAAACAUGCUUUGUUCUCACACCCUGUUAUGUGUACUAUAAUAUUAAUGUUAAGAUUAAUAUGAAGUUUUUACUUAAACCCUGAAAAAAAAAA